UACGUAGGGGGCUAGCGUUGUCCGGAAUCAUUGGGCGUAAAGAGCUCGUAGGCGGUUUGUCGCGUCUGCUGUGAAAACUGGAGGCUCAACCUCCAGCCUGCAGUGGGUACGGGCAGACUAGAGUGCGGUAGGGGAGAUUGGAAUUCCUGGUGUAGCGGUGGAAUGCGCAGAUAUCAGGAGGAACACCGAUGGCGAAGGCAGAUCUCUGGGCCGUAACUGACGCUGAGGAGCGAAAGCAUGGGGAGCGAACAGG
rnacentral:rRNA from 1 species